CUCCAUCCUAGAAAGACACAGUUUAUAUCCAACGUUUGAUUAUCCAUCUUAUUUGAAAAACUUUUAUAAUUAAUAUUUUUAUUGUUAUUAGAUGAUAAAAUAUGAAUAUUGCUUUAUGUGUGACUAUUUUUUAUUUUCCUUAUAAACUUUUUUAAGAUAGUCAAAUGUUAGAUAUAGGAACACACGACUGCAUUUAAA
rnacentral:pre_miRNA from 1 species